rnacentral:rRNA from 1 species
CGACGUAAAGAACUCGCCUCACAGCUAGGGACAACAUUUGGAAACGAAUGCUAAUACCUGAUAUUAUGAUUUUAGGGCAUCCUAGAAUUAUGAAAGCUAUAUGCGCUGUGAGAGAGCUUUGCGUCCCAUUAGCUAGUUGGAGAGGUAACGGCUCACCAAGGCGAUGAUGGGUAGCCGGCCUGAGAGGGUGAUCGGCCACAAGGGGACUGAGACACGGCCCUU